UGUCUCGCGUCCCUGAAAUACAACCAGACCAACGCUAAACCGUCCCGCACACCUAGAAAACGGAUCUGAGGAUUCACACAACAAUCUGCGCCACCUGAACCACCGAACUCAGCAGGCACUCAGGAUCUUCUAUUAACAUGCCAUCAUCCCUGGGAGAGAUACACGUGCACAAUACGAUCAUUAUUGUUGAGCAAACACUUCACAUAAGGCAACUUGUUCAAGCAAUUGCCUAAGAAAAAGGAAGAGAUGACCAAUAUUUUGAAGAGUGAGGAAAGCUGAAUUUCCCCAGUGCGACCAUGACAAAGCAGAGAUGCUCAAUCUUCAAGGAUCUCGGGUAUACAGACACAAUUACACACAAAGCGUCAUGGCACGGUCUCGAAAAAUUGCCUUACUCAUAUGAUCGCUAAGAUCCCAACGGAGGUGAUAAGUGGUGGUGAAACAACCAAUCAGACCAGCAGAUUCCAUCGUUUCUAGGUGGUAUGUACCUGUGGGAA